AUGGCAACAGGGUGCAGAUAGAAGGAUUGGGUCCAAACACAGUCGGGCCCAAUCCGAAGGCAAGGGAGGGAGAGCUCAGUUAGGAAAAAAAACAUGGAAAACGUUUUCUUUCUCUCAUUCCCUCAAUUCCCCUCUCAUUCCCUCCACUGCACCGGAGCUCACUGUCGGCGGUGGUUGAGCCUCAUUUCAAAAAAUCAAGCAUACAAACACAACCAGAAUUACAUGCUAAGUCUCAAUCCAUAUAUUGUUUUUCAUAAUUCCUCAAAACAAGUCCGGAUCGAAAGGAUAGAAGCAAGAACUCUAAGUCUAUCAACAAAAAUAAAAUGACGAACAACAAGAAUUAGAGCCUUAUUUGUUAGGGCUUUGAUUCAUCUCAAUGCAAGCUACAUGGUGGUAACUCACUUGAAGUGAAAUGAUGAAGGUUGAAGAUGCACUCAUCGGAGCACCGUGCCAGAAAUGUCGGGUAAUUCCUCUGAAACUCUUCGUACUUCCUUCUUUUUGCUUCUUCUUCUCAUAAACUUCUUCUGCAAUUGAGAACUGAGUGAAAUCAAAAGGAAAUCGAGAGGGGGAGAAAAAGUGAGCUAUAAGAUUUCAGAAAUGGAGAGAGAUUUGAGAAUUCAUGAGAAUGCUUGAGAGUGAAGGUUUGAGCCUCCUGAAUGAACGAGGGGGGAGUGAAUUUAUAGAGGAUUGAUCUCACAGUUUUGUUAGAUUCGUUAACUCGUAGAAGUAAAAUUUAGUUGGAGGUUUUUACACAGUGUCAAUUAGUUAGUUAGGUUAGUUGUAAUUGAUUUAAGUGAAAUAGUGAAGUUGAAAUCGAGAGUCGUUAAUUGGUUUUGAAAGAAAUGGAUUUUCUGCAAUUCUAUUACAACCGAGUUAUAGUCAUGUUCACUUUCUAUUAAUGUAGUUAGCUCUUUUAGUUAGUUGGCAAUGUUAGAAUAGUUAAUUAAUCAUGUGGAUUAUUGUAUGCUAAAGAUGGUUAAUGGUUUUGAAUGAAAUCAAUCAACAUGAUUUGCUCGAUUUUGCAAUGGCCAUGUCAUGUUAUGAUGAUGGUUUGCAGGAUAUAUGUUAUGUAGUAGCUUGGCAUGGUGAUGAUGAUCAUGAUGUAGCAUGACAUGUUUCCAGGUUGUGAGAUUAUGCAGGCAAGUUUUGGUGUGUUGCUGCAGGGUUAGUUCAAGGUCCAUGUGGUGAUACAGGGCCAGUAAUGGCAUGUUGUUGAUGCAAGUCUUCAUGUAGCAUGUUGCAAUAGACUUCAUGACUGGCGUGAUCUGAUGCACGAAGUUGUGAUGAGGGUCAUGGUUUAAUGUAGCAUAUGGCAAGGUAAUUAGUAUGUGGCUUUCAGCAAGUAAGGAAAAAUGUUUGGAGUUCAGGUCAAGGUGACUUAAUGAAGGCUGAUGCAAGGCAUUGUUGUUGCAGGCAGGGCAACUGGCCAAGUUUCAUGUGCUUGCAAAAUGUUUGAUGUACCAAUGCACCUUGUCUUUCAUGUUAAUCAAUGCUUGUGAAAUAUAUGAUUGGUUAUAUGUUUGGGAUGCAUUAUUUUUUCAUGAGGUUUGGCUUGUGAAAGGCAAAGGGUGGCAAGAAAAUGCAAAGCAAGAAGGCCAUGGUUAUGGCAUGGUGUGGUCAAAAAUGGAAAUUCUUGUUUGUAAAGCCAUAUGGGAUUUUAUGAGUUAUGUAUGGAUAUAAUGUAAUUAGAAUUAGGUUUAGGAUGAAAAAAUGCAAUGGUUGACUUCGUUAAAUGUUUGACCAAAAAGUCAACAGUUGACCAAAAUGACAAUUUUUAAAAAAUGUAAUUUUUUAAUUUCUUUUUCUAAUGGACUAUUUAUGAAUUAAUAAAUGAAUUAAAUGAUCAAUGAUUUGAAUGAAAUGAUCAUGAAUUGAAUGUGAGCCAACUUUGAUUUUUUGAAUGAUCUUCAAC
rnacentral:lncRNA from 1 species